CUUCAGCGAGCCCAGCCAGAGCGGCCGGUCCUCGGGGUGGUCCUUGCCGUAGGUGGCGAUGAGGGCCUGGGCCUC
rnacentral:antisense_RNA from 1 species